rfam:Photorhabdus luminescens subsp. laumondii TTO1 complete genome
UUGGGUGGCUGAAUUAGAGAUCGGCACCUGUAAUUUUAUUUUAUAUGUUUUUGGAGUUGUAAUAUGUCUCUAAGUACUGAAGCAAAAGCGCAAAUUAUUGCUGAAUUUGGUCGUGAUGUG